rnacentral:lncRNA from 1 species
CCCAAAAACUAAGGCUCAUAUUUAAGCAUUUCCCCUUAAAUUAGAUAAGCACAGCUCUUUUCAGGACUUGAAACGCGGUUGGAAGGCACAUAAUAGAUUUUAUUGAGUCUGUUGGUUAUUCACAUACUCACAAGGGAUUUGAAAAAGCAGUUAAACAGAAAAUAUUCUCAAGAAAAGCGAGAGACUUCACGACCCAUUGUUCCUGCUGCUGAUCAGAUGUAAAUAAUGGGCCAUACCCUCGUCCGAACGCAAUUGCGCAGAGAGAGCGAGCGAGCCAGCCAAUGAGACGUGAGCUCUGUUCUCCACCGCCUGGCAGCACUUCAGGCGCUACUUCGGGUGUUUUUCUUUUGUAAAGCGAUCGGGUCUCCCGAUUACGAGGGCUUUAACACCUUUAUUAGGGCUCCCGCAGCUGCUUGCUCUGCCCUACUCUUUACAGAGCGCCACAAGGGCCCACGCUUUGCUCCUCCCUCAGGCCCGAGGUUCCAGAGAGCGGCUUUCCACGCUGCGUUAACCCUCCCCGGCAAGGCGUCUUUUUCCCACGGCGGCCGGGCCGUUAUGUUGUCCACGAGCGAGGAGGGCGUGGGAUCUUUGGUACAGGUUCCCCAGGCCGCGGGGAAGCGCGCGCCCAGCCAGGCAGCGUCCCAAGAACAAAGGUGCCGCGCCUGCGCCCCGCCACCCGCGCGGCGCGAAAUGGCGGCCGAGCCACAAAAUGGCAGCCAGGCGCCGGCGCCCCCGCCCCACCGCGGCCACGUAGAGCGGCUUCUCCGCACUCGCUGCAUUAGCUCCACGCCACCGAAGUGGAGGCGGGUGGAGGGGAAAACACAGAGCCACCAAAGAGAGGCUACGGAAAACGGGAGUCUGGCGCCCCUAAACCGCAGCUCGGCAGCCACGCCCACUGCAGGCGGGGGCCCAGAUCUCCGGGCCACUGGCGCCCGCUCCACCGCGCAAACGUCCCGGGCCGCUCCGGGUGUUCCCGGACACCCCUUCCCUUUCCCCUGCCCCGGAGGCGAGGGUUCUAGUCACGGCCAGAGGAAGCAGCAGCUGUGCGGUCCUCAUGCUUUUCCCCUGGAUGUGAGGGUCUCGGGCUCUCCUUGGCCGUGGCUUGAGAGUUGGGAGGCAGAGCGAUGGCCGUCUGCUUUGGAUAUUUCGCUUUCUUCUCUCAAAUGCGGCUUCGUCUUUCCAGAAACUUCUCAAGAGAAACUCAGAAAAAAGCCGCAAAUUCGGCCGCAGCCGCCUCCUUCCCGGCGCACGCGCGAUAGGGCGGGCGCAAAAGGCCGCGCGAGGGAG